rnacentral:tRNA from 1 species
CGGGUGUAGUUGAGUGGCACAAUGUCUCCUUCCCAAGGAGAAGCCGGGGGUUCGAUUCCCCUCACCCGCUCCA